rnacentral:rRNA from 1 species
GAUGAACGCUGGCGGCGUGCCUAAUACAUGCAAGUCGAGCGAACAGAUGAGGAGCUUGCUCCUCUGACGGUAGCAGCGGACAGGGGAGUAGCAAGUGGAUAACCUCCUUAUAAGACUUGGAUAACUUCGGGAAAACGGAGCUACUAACAGGGGAUAUAUUGAACCGCAUGGUUCAAUAGUGUAGGACGGUUUUUGUGUCAGUUAUAGAUGGAUCCGCGCCGCAUUAGCUUGUUGGUAAGGUGACGGCUUACCAAGGCAACGAUGCGUAGCCGACCUGAGAGGGUGGUCGGCCACAAUAGUACGGCGGCGCCGUCGACAAUACUACGAGGGGCAGCAGUAGGGAAUAAUCCUGCACGGGCGGCAGAAUGACGGAGCAACGCCGCGGGAUGGAUGAUGGUCUCCGGAGCGUAGAGCUCUGUUAUUGGGGAUGAACAAGUGUGGAAGUAACUGUGCGCGGGUUGACGGUAGCUGAUCAGGAAGCCACGGCUAACUACGUG